GCUGGGCAUGGUGGCGUGUGCCUGUAAUCCCAGCUACUCAGGAAGCUGAGGCAGAAGAAUCGCUUGAACCCGGGAGGUGGAGGUUGCAGUGAGCCGAGAUCUUGCCACUGCACUCCAGCCUGGGCAACAGAGAGAGACUCUGUCUCAA
ensembl:misc_RNA Metazoa_SRP Metazoan signal recognition particle RNA